GGUGCCGUAGUGUAGUGGUUAUCAUGCGACGUUGUGGUUUAUUCCCACAGUCCCGUCUCGACCUGGGUUCGAUUCCCAGCGGCGCCA
rnacentral:tRNA from 5 species